AUUGAACGCUGGCGGAAUGCUUUACACAUGCGAGUCGAGCGGCAGCACGGGGGCAACCCUGGUGGCGAGCGGCGAACGGGUGAGUAACACAUCGGAACAUGCCCAGUCGUGGGGGAUAACACUUCGAAAGAAGUGCUAAUACCGCAUACGUCCUGAGGGAGAAAGCGGGGGAUCGCAAGACCUCGCGCGAUUGGAGUGGCCGAUGUCAGAUUAGCUAGUUGGUGGGGUAAAGGCCUACCAAGGCAACGAUCUGUAGCUGGUCUGAGAGGAUGAUCAGCCACACUGGGACUGAGACACGGCCCAGACUCCUACGGGAGGCAGCAGUGGGGAAUUUUGGACAAUGGGGGCAACCCUGAUCCAGCCAUUCCGCGUGAGUGAAGAAGGCCUUCGGGUUGUAAAGCUCUUUCGGCAGGAACGAAACGGUGAGCUCUAACAUAGCUUGCUAAUGACGGUACCUGAAGAAGAAGCACCGGCUAACUACGUG
rnacentral:rRNA from 1 species